AUUGAACGCUGGCGGCAGGCCUAACACAUGCAAGUCGAGCGAGCGGCGGACGGGUGUGUAAUGUAUGGGGACGGCACUAUAGAGGGGGAUAAACAUUGGAAACUGUCUCUAAUACCGCAUACUAUUGGAUAACCCAUAUGGGAUUAGCUAGUAGGUGGGGUAAAGGCGCACCUAGGCGACGAUCUCUAGCUGGUCUGAGAGGAUGAUCCGCCACACGGGGACUGAGACACGGCCCAGACUUCUACGGAGGCAGCAGUGGGGAAUAUUGCACAAUGGGCGCAAGCCUGAUGCAGCCAUGCCGCGUGUAAGAAGAAGGCCUUAGGGUUGUAAAGUACUUUCAGCUGGGAGGCGUUACCCGCAGAAGAAGCACCGGCUAACUCCGUGCCAGCAGCCGCGGUAAUAC
rnacentral:rRNA from 1 species